ACUAUCGCUAUCUUGUUAAUAAGGAGUUUGUGAGUGUGAUAGAAGCUAGUGCAAAGGUAACAGGUGCAGUGAAUGAAGCAGAGUGGGUACUCCUUUAUCAAGGGAUUGCUAGAGGGCUGGGCAAUCUAGACACUAACAUAACAGCUUGUGUUAAAGAUGGCAACAACACUAUUGAUGCUUUUAAAGAAUCCUUUAAAGCUUUUGAAGACCGACAGAUAAUUAAAGGACUCCAAUUGUUU